rnacentral:misc_RNA from 1 species
UCACUGCGUACUGUUUUUGCUCAGGCAAGUCUUUCCUAUCAACAUGAUGAUCUAAUAGAUUUGACUUCUGACAUCAAUUAUUCUCAGUGGCACUGGCAUCUAACAUGAUACCUCCUGCUGUCUUUUUUGGCAUUUGUGUGUUAAGAGUGGGGCUCAUAAUAUACAAUGUGCAUUCAAAUUGUAGUGUACUUGGUCCAUACACCAAUAUUAUUUGGUUUAUGAAGAGAGGAGAUAUCUGUUACAGCACUGUGGUUUCGUUUUGUCUUUUAUCUUAUUUUGCAGCCCAUGUUUCAUUAUUUGUGUGAGACUGUGAGGUGUUACUUUAGAAACAAAAAAAUAAAAUGAACAUCAUAUAUAUAUAUAUAUAUAGUAAACCCAAACUCAUAUCAUCUACCAAUUUUUAGGAGAUUUCUUUUCAGGG